AGGGCUGGGACUGGAUUCCUUUAUUGGUUUCCUGUGUUAAGCUGGGUUUCACUUGGCUUCCGCCAAGGUUCUUGCUGAAAUUGGUCCAACGCUUUAUCCUCGCAGCCACACUCACUCGUGAAUUCCUCUGUGUCAUAUGUUGGUUGAAAUCCAUGCAAGUCAUGGCACCUCUCCGUCUUCACAACCCUGUGAAGUUGUGCAGCGCUGAAAUGGAGCAGAUUUUGCCUAAAAUCCACCGAGAGAGCCCUCAAAAUAUCUGAUGCCCAGGAUGUGCUGGAAGUGCUGUUACCUCUGUGUCCCCCAGAGAUGUUCCUCCCCAUGACCCUGCACAGCGCUCAGCUUAACUCUGGUAGAACCUCGCAGCCCUGCUGUCUUACAGCAGCAUUUCCCAGAAGGAAACAUUUCUCCUGCUUUGUCUGUAUACACCUGCCAACGUGUGUCUAUUGAUAAUGCAGUGUAAAAACAAUUUUGGGGCCUGUCCUCCUAGCUGCUGAAACUGCAGAAGAGCAUACUUGGCAUGCUGAGGCUGUCUGGAACCUGGGAAUAUGGCUUUUACAUCUGCAGCCUUUUUUGCUCUAAAACAGAACAGUCUUCCAGGUGGAAGCUGAAACCCUUUCCCUGGGGUAGCGAGGCCAUGCAGAAGGUCACAAAUGGCUGACAGUGCUGAGCUGGUUCCAGGCUCUGUGCAUCCUCUGGGAUGGAUCUCAUCGCUGCCCUUUCCGCUGGGGGCCGUACAGGGGACACAGAAACGCUGCUGCCAAGGGGUGCAGAGAAGGAUGCGACAGCAUCACCAGCCUUGGAAGAAGUGACAGCAACAAGGGAGAUGGAAAGUCUGAAGGUGGCCAACUCUGAUGGAGCAGUGAUGGAAGCGUCAGAAAACCCAGAGGCAGAAGGAAUUGCUGAAAUGAUCCGAGCAGCAGAACGAAUAGCAAAAUGCGAAGUGGCCAAAGUGCUGCAGUCAGCAAUAGCUGAGCUCAAAGAGAUGAGGAGGAGCACGUUGUUAAAGCCAAGGAACAACACCCAACAGGAGGAGGAGGACUGGGAGAAGAAGUGAGAGGUGAUGUGAAGUGAAGGUUGGUUCGUACCCAAAGUGGAGCGUUCCCAUUACGCCCCCUUUGUAAGUGCCCACGCUAUUAGAAAUAAAGAUAUGCCACAUUCCACGUGCAGUAUCUUUCAUGGAUUUGAAGGCCCUUGUCUCCUG
ensembl:lncRNA